rnacentral:lncRNA from 1 species
AAACAAAUGAAGUAACCAGGCUUCACUUUGAAGGUUCAGCUGCAUCUCAUAGAUAUCUGGUAAAGAAGGGAUCUGGGAAGAAGAGAGAGGUUGGUUCUGUAAAGUAACCAGAAUGUUUCUAAUGCCACUUCUGUAGUUCUGAUACCUAAAGCAAAGAGUUAGAGUAUGAACAGAGAAAUUUUCAGGUAGACAUUGGAUGAUUUUUAAUUUUUUUUGUUGUAUUUUUUUUUUCAGUCCUAUAAUCAGGUGUGGAAAUCUGUAGUUUGUUGGAGCAGUUGUAAUUUAUUCCUUUCUCUAGUCUUGGCCUGCACUAAAGUCGAUGGAGAUUUGGCAGACACCUAGCAUGCUGCUCUUCGUGAAGUCUAACUACAGUGGUAUGCAGGAAAGGAAUCGAACUGAUUAUUUUCUAGCUCUCAAUCCUUCUUAGCAUCUUCAUUGGCUACCCAGAAUUUGGUUACUGAAGAAACUUUGUCCGCAGCCGGGGCGUGUUUUAACUGCGGAAAGGAAGGAGCUGCCCCCUGCCCCAGUAUUGCCCUGUUAUUUCCACGAGCGCGACUCCAGCUGGGGCUUUCGCUCCGCUGCCGCCGAGCCGCCCGCGGCCCCGCGCAAGGCCG